rnacentral:tRNA from 1 species
GCUGGCACAGUGGUUAAAGUGCUUGGCUGGUAACCAAAAGGUCGGUGGUUCAAACCCACCAGCU